CCUACGGGGGGCUGCAGUGGGGAAUAUUGGACAAUGGGGGCAACCCUGAUCCAGCCAUGCCGCGUGUGUGAAGAAGGCCCUCGGGUUGUAAAGCACUUUCAGUGAGGAAGAACGCCUGGUGGUUAAUACCCAUCAGGAAAGACAUCACUCACAGAAGAAGCACCGGCUAACUCCGUGCCAGCAGCCGCGGUAAUACGGAGGGUGCGAGCGUUAAUCGGAAUUACUGGGCGUAAAGCGCGCGUAGGUGGCUUGAUAAGCCGGUUGUGAAAGCCCCGGGCUCAACCUGGGAACGGCAUCCGGAACUGUCAAGCUAGAGUGCAGGAGAGGAAGGUAGAAUUCCCGGUGUAGCGGUGAAAUGCGUUGAGAUCGGGAGGAAUACCAGUGGCGAAGGCGGCCUUCUGGACUGACACUGACACUGAGGUGCGAAAGCGUGGGUAGCAAACAGGAUUAGAUACCCUGGUAGUC
rnacentral:rRNA from 1 species